UGGGGGAUAACGUUCCGAAAGGAACGCUAAUACCGCAUACGUCCUACGGGAGAAAGCAGGGGACCUUCGGGCCUUGCGCUAUCAGAUGAGCCCAGGUCGGAUUAGCUAGUUGGUGGGGUAAAGGCCCACCAAGGCGACGAUCCGUAGCUGGUCUGAGAGGAUGAUCAGCCACACUGGAACUGAGACACGGUCCAGACUCCUACGGGAGGCAGCAGUGGGGAAUAUUGGACAAUGGGCGAAAGCCUGAUCCAGCCAUGCCGCGUGUGUGAAGAAGGCCUUCGGGUUGUAAAGCACUUUAAGCGGGGAGGAAGGGCUUCUGGCUAAUAUCCAGGAGCAUUGACGUUACCCGCAGAAUAAGCACCGGCUAACUCUGUGCCAGCAGCCGCGGUAAUACAGAGGGUGCAAGCGUUAAUCGGAAUUACUGGGCGUAAAGCGCGCGUAGGCGGUUUGUUAAGUCGGAUGUGAAAUCCCCGGGCUCAACCUGGGCACUGCAUCCGAUACUGGCUGACUAGAGUGUGGGAGAGGAAGGUAGAAUUCCAGGUGUAGCGGUGAAAUGCGUAGAGAUCUGGAGGAAUACCGAUGGCGAAGGCAGCCUUCUGGCCUAACACUGACGCUGAGGUGCGAAAGCAUGGGGAGCAAACAGGAUUAGAUACCCUGGUAGUCCAUGCCGUAAACGAUGUCAACUAGCCGUUGGGGUCCUUGAGGCCUUAGUGGCGCAGCUAACGCGAUAAGUUGACCGCCUGGGGAGUACGGCCGCAAGGUUAAAACUCAAAUGAAUUGACGGGGGCCCGCACAAGCGGUGGAGUAUGUGGUUUAAUUCGAUGCAACGCGAAGAACCUUACCUGGCCUUG
rnacentral:rRNA from 1 species